UAGCGGAACUCCUACGGGAGGCAGCAGUUAGGAAUCUUCGGCAAUGGGCGAAAGCCUGACCGAGCGACACUGCUUGGAGGAUGAAGGUCUUCGGAUCGUAAACUCCUGAACGAGGGACGAAUAAUGACGGUACCUCGCUAAUAGCACCGGCUAACUCCGUGCCAGCAGCCGCGGUAAUACGGAGGGUGCGAGCGUUAUCCGGAAUCACUGGGCGUAAAGGGCGCGUAGGCGGUUUGUUAAGUCCGAUGUUAAAGCGUGAGGCUCAACCUCAUCACGGCGUUGGAUACUGGCAAGCUGGACGGUUGGAGAGGAAGGUAGAAUUACCAGUGUAGCGGUGGAAUGCGUAGAUACUGGUAGGAAUACCCAUUGCGAAGGCAGCCUUCUGGACAACACGUGACGCUGAGGCGCGAAAGUGUGGGGAGCAAACCGGAUUAGAAACCCUAGUAGUCCACUUAUG
rnacentral:rRNA from 1 species